UUUCCCAUCCUUGCGUAUCUUUGGUCGGACGGUGAUUCUCACUCUUCCUAUUGACUUCUACUUUGUGUCAGCAAGUUCAGCGUGGGCCCCGUAUGCUGCCGUGGAUCUGAUCAGCUGAGGCCUGAGACACAGGACCAGGACUGUUUUGUCUUGGCACCAGGUCCACAGGAAAGCCUUCAUUCAUCCCCUCCCUGUCUGUGAUCUCAUCAGCCAGAGCACAGCUUCACCCAGGGAAGCAGAGCCCCAGAGCCUGAACGAGCUGUACCAGUCCAUUGUCCCAGGCCACUGGCCUUGAAGCUUGCUCUGUCACCCAGUGGCAUGAUCUUGGCUCACUGCAACUUCCACCUCCCAGGUUCAAGCGGUUCUCAAGCUUCACCCACCUGAGUAGCUGGGAUUACAGGCACAUGCCAUCACAUUCAGCUAAUUUUUCUAUAUUUUUAGUAGAGACGGGGUUUCACCAUGUUGGCCAGGCUAGUCUUGGACUCCUGGCCUCAAGUGAUCUACCCGCCCCAGGUCUCCCAAAGUGCUGAGAUUACAGGUGUGAGCCACUGUGCCCAGCCAAGGU
rnacentral:lncRNA from 10 species